AUUGAACGCUGGCGGCAGGCCUAACACAUGCAAGUCGAACGAGUGGCGGACGGGUGAGUAAUGUCUGGGAAACUGCCUGAUGGAGGGGGAUAACUACUGGAAACGGUAGCUAAUACCGCAUACCAUCGGAUUUGCCCAGAUGGGAUUAGCUAGUAGGGGGGGUAACGGCUCACCUAGGCGACGAUCCCUAGCUGGUCUGAGAGGAUGACCAGCCACACUGGAACUGAGACACGGUCCAGACUCAUACGGGAGGCAGCAGUGGGGAAUAUUGCAAAAUGGGCGCAAGCCUGAUGCAGCCAUGCCGCGUGUGUGAAGAAGGCCUUCGGGUUGUAAAGCACGUUCAGCGAGGAGGCGUUACUCGCAGAAGAAGCACCGGCUAACUCCGGGCCAGCAGCCGCGGUAAUUC
rnacentral:rRNA from 1 species